UACGUAGGGGCAAGCGUUGUCCGGAUUUAUUGGGCGUAAAGAGCUCGUAGGUGGCCUGUCGCGUCGGCUGUGAAAACUCGGGGCUACAACUCCGAGCCUUGCAGUCGAUACGGGCAGGCUAAGAGUUCGGCAGGGGGAGACUGGAAUUCCUGGUGUAGCGGUGAAAUGCGCAGAUAUCAGGAGGAACACCGGUGGCGAAGGCGGGUCUCUGGGCCGAUACUGACACUGGAGGAGCGAAAGCGUGGGGGAGCGAAACAGG
rnacentral:rRNA from 1 species